rnacentral:rRNA from 1 species
UACGGGGGGGGUAAGCGUUGUUCGGAAUUACUGGGCGUAAAGCGCGCGUAGGCGGCUUUGCAAGUCGGGUGUGAAAUCCCCAGGCUUAACCUGGGAACUGCAUUCGAGACUGCAUUGCUAGAGUAUGGGAGAGGGAAGUGGAAUUUCCGGUGUAGCGGUGAAAUGCGUAGAUAUCGGAAGGAACACCAGUGGCGAAGGCGACUUCCUGGCCUGUUCUUGACGCUGAGGCGCGAAAGCUAGGGUAGCAAACGGG